rnacentral:tRNA from 1 species
UCCCUGGUAGCUCAGAUGGUAAAGCGUCUGUCUACAAUGCAGGAGACCCGGGUUCGAUCCCUGGGUUGGGAA